GUCUGUAUGAAGUUAUAUAGAGUCUGGCCUGCCCGUUGAAGAAAUUUGAAAGGCCGCGGUAUAUUAACUGUGCAAAGGUAGCAUAAUCAUUAGUUUUUUAAUUGAAGGCUUGUAUGAAGGGUCUGACAAAGAAAAAGCUGUCUUUAGUUUUAUUUUUGAAUUUAACUUUUAAGUGAAAAGGCUUAAAUAAAUUUAAGGGACGAUAAGACCCUAUAAAUCUUUAUAUUAAAUUAUUAUCUUGAAUUUUAAUGUUUGUUUAGAUAUUAACAAGUAAAAUAAUAAAUAUUUUGUUGGGGUGACAAGAAUAUAAAAAUAACUGUUCUUAAGAAAAACAAAGUUGUUUGUAUAAAAUUUUAUAGAUCCUUUUUAAAGAUUAAGAGUUUAAGUUACUUUAGGGAUAACAGCGUUAUUUUUUUUGAGAGUUCUUAUCGAAAAAAAAGUUUGCGACCUCGAUGUUGAAUUAAAAUUUCUUUACGGUGUAGAAGUUGUAAGAGAAAGUCUGUUCGACUUUU
rnacentral:rRNA from 1 species